rnacentral:rRNA from 1 species
UACGGAGGGUGCAAGCGUUGCUCGGAAUUAUUGGGCGUAAAGGGUAGGUAGGUGGUCUCAUUUGUCUGGGGUGAAAGCCCUGAGCUUAACUCAAGAAGUGCCCCAGAAACGGUGAGACUAGAGUCUUGGAGAGGGUCGUGGAAUUCCCGGUGUAGCGGUGAAAUGCGUAGAGAUCGGGAGGAACACCAGAGGCGAAGGCGGCGACCUGGACAAGUACUGACACUCAACUACGAAAGCGUGGGGAGCAAACAGG